rnacentral:rRNA from 1 species
AUUGAACGCUGGCGGAAUGCUUUACACAUGCAAGUCGAACGGCAGCACGGACUUCGGUCUGGUGGCGAGUGGCGAACGGGUGAGUAACAUAUCGGAACGUAUCCAAUAAUGGGGGAUAACUAAUCGAAAGGUUGGCUAAUACCGCAUAUGCCCUACGGGGGAAAGCUAGGGACCUUCGGGCCUGGCGUUAAUGGAGCGGCCGAUAUCUGAUUAGCUAGUUGGUGAGGUAAAGGCGCACCAAGGAGACGAUCAGUAGCUGGUCUGAGAGGACGACCAGCCACACUGGAACUGAGACACGGUCCAGACUCCUACGGGAGGCAGCAGUGGGGAAUUUGGGACAAUGGGCGCAAGCCUGAUCCGGCCAUUCCGCGUGAGUGAAGAAGGCCUUCGGGUUGUAAAGCUCUUUCGCAAGGGAAGAAAACUUACCCUCUAACAUAGGGUGAGGUUGACGGUACCUUGAUAAGAAGCACCGGCUAACUACGUGCCAGCAGCCGCCGUAAAAC